UACGUAGGGUGCAAGCGUUGUCCGGAAUUAUUGGGCGUAAAGAGCUUGUAGGCGGUUUGUCGCGUCUGCUGUGAAAUUUCGGGGCUCAACCCCGAACUUGCAGUGGGUACGGGCAGACUAGAGUGUGGUAGGGGAGACUGGAAUUCCUGGUGUAGCGGUGAAAUGCGCAGAUAUCAGGAGGACACCGAUGGCGAAGGCAGGUCUCUGGGCCAUAACUGACGCUGAGAAGCGAAAGCAUGGGGAGCGAACAGG
rnacentral:rRNA from 1 species